AAUUGCGGGGCUCAACCUCGUCGAGCCGUUGAAACUGGGUGCCUUGAGUGGGCGAGAAGUACGCGGAAUGCGUGGUGUAGCGGUGAAAUGCAUAGAUAUCACGCAGAACUCCGAUUGCGAAGGCAGCGUACCGGCGCUCAACUGACGCUCAUGCACGAAAGUGUGGGUAUCGAACAGGAUUAGAUACCCUGGUAGUCCACACAGUAAACGAUGAAUACUAAUUGUUCGGGGAGAAUGAUCCCUGAGUGAUACAGCGAAAGCGUUAAGUAUUCCACCUGGGGAGUACGCCGGCAACGGUGAAACUCAAAGGAAUUGACGGGGGCCCGCACAAGCGGAGGAACAUGUGGUUUAAUUCGAUGAUACGCGAGGAACCUUACCCGGGCUCAAACGACACAGGAAUACUUUUGAAAGGAGGUAGCUCUACGGAGUCUGUGUCGAGGUGCUGCAUGGUUGUCGUCAGCUCGUGCCGUGAGGUGUCGGCUUAAGUGCCAUAACGAGCGCAACCCCCAUCGCCAGUUACCAGCAAGUCAAGUUGGGGACUCUGGCGAGACUGCCGGCGCAAGCUGUGAGGAAGGCGGGGAUGACGUCAAAUCAGCACGGCCCUUACGUCCGGGGCGACACACGUGUUACAAUGGCAGGUACAGAGAGAAGCAAUGCGGCGACGCAAAGCGGAACUUGAAAGCCUGUCUCAGUUCGGAUUGGAGUCUGCAACUCGACUCCAUGAAGCUGGAUUCGCUAGUAAUCGCGCAUCAGCCAUGGCGCGGUGAAUACGUUCCCGGGCCUUGUACACACCGCCCGUCAAGCCAUGGAAGCCGGGAGUGCCUGAAGUGUGCAACCGCAAGGAGCGCCCUAAGGUAAAACUGGUGACUGGGGCUAAGUCGUAACAAGGUAGCCGUAA
rnacentral:rRNA from 1 species